CGUUCUACGGCCAAACUGGUUACGGCACCACUGAAGAUGCGGGUUCAAGUCCCGCUGGAACGG
rnacentral:tRNA from 1 species